rnacentral:miRNA from 1 species
AAGCUUAUGUUCAUGUAUGC